UGGGGAAUCUUGCGCAAUGGGCGAAAGCCUGACGCAGCGACGCCGCGUGCGGGAAGAAGGCCUUCGGGUUGUAAACCGCUUUCAGGAGGGACGAAGCCACUCGGGUUAAUAGCCCAGAGGGUGACGGUACCUCCAGAAGAAGCCCCGGCUAACUACGUGCCAGCAGCCGCGGUAAUACGUAGGGGGCAAGCGUUGUCCGGAUUUAUUGGGCGUAAAGCGCGUGUAGGCGGCCAGGUAAGUCGGCUGUGAAAACUCGAGGCUCAACCUCGAGAUGUCGGCCGAAACUAUCUGGCUAGAGUCCGGAAGAGGAGAAUGGAAUUCCCGGUGUAGCGGUGAAAUGCGCAGAUAUCGGGAAGAACACCCGUGGCGAAGGCGGUUCUCUGGGACGGUACUGACGCUGAGACGCGAAAGCGUGGGGAGCGAACAGGAUUAGAUACCCUGGUAGUCCACGCCGUAAACGAUGGGAACUAGGUGUGGGCGGUGUCGACUCCGUCGUGCCGAGCUAACGCAUUAA
rnacentral:rRNA from 1 species